ensembl:snRNA U1 U1 spliceosomal RNA
AUACUUACCUGGCAGGGGAGAUACCAUGAUCAAGAAGGUGGUUCACCCAGGGCGAGGCUCAGUCAUGCACUGCGACUGUACUGACCACUGCGAUUCCUCAAAUGUGGGAAUCUCGACUGC